CUUAGUUUUCUUAUAUAUGUAAACUAACCCUUUAUACUUAAGUUUAUAAUAUGUAAAGUAACUCUUUAUGAUUGGUUUCUUAUAUGCAUGUAGGGCUCAUAUAAAUGGAGGGAGGAACUUCAAUCCCAAGUGAGAUCUACAUACGACAGGAAAAUGGCGAAACGAUUGAAAGAUAAUCACCACUCGAUAGUAAAGAAGAAGGGUGGUGUUUGUCCGACAUGGUUGUCUCUGAGCAUUCACGAGCAGAUGAUGAAGAAUGCUCAAGACAAGGAUUUCAAAGCACGAUCUCAGAAGGCUAGCAAGAACCGGCGAGGAGGUGACUUGACCACAGCGUACCUCCUUCUCAUGUCCAGGGUUCUAUUUCCUCAGCAGAGCGCGCCAAGAGAUUGGCCGCACAGCGUGGAGGGAUGCUGCCUUCCGCUGUGGACUUGUUCAUGGAUACACACAUGAGGGAUGAGUCUGGAAAGAAGGUUCCGAUCAACGACAAAGUCCAAAAAAUCAAGGAAAGUUAUGACAAAACUCUUGCUCAAUGUGAAGAAAGAGGUGAAACCAAGGCCCCGAACCAGAUUUUCUUUGAGACUGUUGGUGG